rnacentral:rRNA from 1 species
CCUACGGGAGGCAGCAGUGGGGAAUAUUGCGCAAUGGGCGAAAGCCUGACGCAGCAACGCCGCGUGCGGGAUGACGGCCUUCGGGUUGUAAACCGCUUUCAGCAGGGACGAAGUGAAAAUGACGGUACCUGCAGAAGAAGCACCGGCCAACUACGUGCCAGCAGCCGCGGUGAUACGUAGGGUGCGAGCGUUGUCCGGAAUUAUUGGGCGUAAAGAGCUUGUAGGCGGUCUGUCGCGUCGAAAGUGAAAACUCAGGGCUCAACCCUGAGCCUGCUCUCGAUACGGGCAGACUAGAGGAAGGUAGGGGAGAACGGAAUUCUUGGUGGAGCGGUGGAAUGCGCAGAUAUCAGGAAGAACACCGGUGGCGAAGGCGGUUCUCUGGACCUUUCCUGACGCUGAGAAGCGAAAGCGUGGGGAGCAAACAGGCUUAGAUACCCCUGUAGUC